rnacentral:rRNA from 1 species
UGACUUUGAUCAUGGCUCAGGACGAACGCUGGCGGCGCGCCUAACACAUGCAAGUCGAACGGAGAUAUUUUGUUUGAAGUUUUCGGAUGGAAAACAGCUUAUCUUAGUGGCGAACGGGUGAGUAACACGUGAGUAACCUGCCUUUCAGAGGGGGACAACAUUUGGAAACGAAUGCUAAUACCGCAUAAGACCACGGUCUCGCAUGGGACAGGGGUCAAAGGAGCAAUCCGCUGAAAGAUGGACUCGCGUCCGAUUAGGUAGUUGGUGAGGUAACGGCCCACCAAGCCGACGAUCGGUAGCCGGACUGAGAGGUUGAACGGCCACAUUGGGACUGAGACACGGCCCAGACUCCUACGGGAGGCAGCAGUGGGGAAUAUUGCACAAUGGGGGAAACCCUGAUGCAGCGACGCCGCGUGGAGGAAGAAGGCCCUCGGGUUGUAAACUCCUGUCCUUGGGGACGAUAAUGACGGUACCCAAGGAGGAAGCACCGGCUAACUACGUGCCAGCAGCCGCGGUAAAACGUAGGGUGCAAGCGUUGUCCGGAAUUACUGGGUGUAAAGGGAGCGCAGGCGGAUCGACAAGUUGGAAGUGAAACGCACGGGCUCAAUCCGUGACCUGCUUUCAAAACUGCCGGUCUUGAGUGGUGUAGAGGUAGGCGGAAUUCCCGGUGUAGCGGUGGAAUGCGUAGAUAUCGGGAGGAACACCAGUGGCGAAGGCGGCCUACUGGGCACUAACUGACGCUGAGGCUCGAAAUCAUGGGUAGCAAACAGGAUUAGAUACCCUGGUAGUCCAUGCCGUAAACGAUGAUUACUAGGUGUGGGGGGAUAGACCCCCUCCGUGCCGCAGUUAACACAAUAAGUAAUCCACCUGGGGAGUACGACCGCAAGGUUGCAACUCAAAGGAAUUGACGGA